GGACAGUAGUGACAGGAGGCGGAGCUCCUAUCUUCUGGAAUAUAUUCAGAAGUACCAUGACAUAACUGAGGACUUAGACUGGAAAUUAAUUGUUCAAAUUGGGAAUUCAGGGGUGUGUUGUGGCAAUCUGGAGGAGCAGAAGGGGCUGAUGAAGAUGGUUCUUAGUAUGGUGUUAGUAGGGCAUGUGAACUUCCUGCUGGGUGCUUUGGUCCAUGGUGUGGUGCUGAGACCCUUCAGCCUCCAGCGGGGACCGGCCAUGGAAAGCACUAUUUUGAACGUCAUCACCCUGGCAACAGGCCUAGGGAUGAAAACCCCGAGAUCAGCCGAGCCCCGCUACUCACCCCAGUCCCGUCGUUGCCAAGGAGAUGAGGAACGGAAGCUGUCCAUUAUUAGACCCACAGAGCGGCACAGGCCACCGCUCUGCUCCGUGUCCUCCUGUCAAUACCACCAGCACC